rnacentral:rRNA from 1 species
AAUAGAUACCCGGGUAGUCCACGCCGUAAACGACUGAGUGCUAAGUGUUGGGGGGUUUCCGCCCCUCAGGUGCGUGCAGCUAACGCAUUAAGCACUCCGCCUGGGGAGUACGGUCGCAAGACUGAAACUCAAAGGAAUUGACGGGGGCCCGCACAAGCGGUGGAGCAUGUGGUUUAAUUCGAAGCAACGCGAAGAACCUUACCAGGUCUUGACAUCCCGGUGACCACUAUGGAGACAUAGUUUCCCCUUCGGGGGCAACGGUGACAGGUGGUGCAUGGUUGUCGUCAGCUCGUGUCGUGAGAUGUUGGGUUAAGUCCCGCAACGAGCGCAACCCUUAUUCUUAGUUGCCAUCAUUCAGUUGGGCACUCUAAGGAGACUGCCGGUGAUAAACCGGAGGAAGGUGGGGAUGACGUCAAAUCAUCAUGCCCCUUAUGACCUGGGCUACACACGUGCUACAAUGGACGGUACAAACGGUUGCCAACCCGCGAGGGGAGCUAAUCCGAUAAAACCGUUCUCAGUUCGGAUUGUAGGCUGCAACUCGCCUACA